AACUCCGGGRAACCGGGYCUAAUACCGGAUWAYAUUUUGAACYGCAUGGUUCRAAAUUGAAMGGCGGCUUCGGCUGUCACUUAUGGAUGGACCCGCGUCGCAUUAGCUAGUUGGKGAGGUAACGGCUCACCAAGGCAACGAUGCGUASCCRACCUGAGAGGGUGAUCGGCCACACUGGGACUGAGACACGGCCCAGACUCCUACGGGAGGCAGCAGUAGGGAAUCUUCCGCAAUGGACGAAAGUCUGACGGASCAACGCCGCGUGAGUGAUGAAGGCUUUCGGGUCGUAAAACUCUGUUGUUAGGGAAGAACAAGUGCUAGUUGAAUAAGCUGGCACCUUGACGGUACCUAACCAGAAAGCCACGGCUAACUACGUGCCAGCAGCCGCGGUAAUACGUAGGUGGCAAGCGUUAUCCGGAAUUAUUGGGCGUAAAGCGCGCGCAGGUGGUUUCUUAAGUCUGAUGUGAAAGCCCACGGCUCAACCGUGGAGGGUCAUUGGAAACUGGGAGACUUGAGUGCAGAAGAGGAAAGUGGAAUUCCAUGUGUAGCGGUGAAAUGCGUAGAGAUAUGGAGGAACMCCAGUGGCGAAGSCGACUUUCUGGUCUGUAACUGAMMCUGAGSSCGAAGCGUGGGGAGCAAMAGGAUUAGAWACCCUGUAGUCCMCGCCGUAACGAUGRKGCUAGKGUAGAGGCUUCCGCCCKUUAGUGCUGAGUACSCAUAGCACYCCGCCUGGGGAGUACCGCC
rnacentral:rRNA from 1 species